rnacentral:lncRNA from 1 species
AUCAAAUACGGCCUCUGAAGAUAAACUUUUAACUCUUAUUUCUCUGUCUGAAUCUAUUCACGCCGCACUUUUUCAUCGGUGCUUAUUUACAUUUUUUUCCAGCACGGGCAAAGCGAAGUUCACAUGACAGCACCACUUUAUCAGACUUUGGGUCCGUAACCGAGACAAACGGCUUGGAUCUGGGAGUCGUGAUUAAUGCGGCAUUUAGAUGGUACCAAGACCCCACCAGUGCAACACCGGAGCUAAGCAGGGGAAAUUACCUUUGAAGGGGCCAAGGGUUGCCGACUGAAACCGAAAAGAACCCUGGGUCGGGACAUCUGGCUGGGUUUACCUCGAGGCUGAAGGCUGGACCCUGGGGGCACAGAUGGGGCAGACCAAAGGAGACAAACGGCUCGGACCAAAGGAGCAGACCAAAUGAAGGUUUGAGGAACAGGCGGUACCAGGAGUGGACAUGAGGCAGGAUUUGUCCUCCUGUCUUAUCACUGUUAGCUUUCUUAAAGUGAUGCCUCCUCUGCUUAUUUUUUCCUGCUGCAGUUAAAAAGUGAAGGGUUAGCACACGAUUCAGAUGACGCCAGUAAACUGGAGAAUUAUGUUCCUAGCAGAUCAAACUGGCCAGCAUCACUGAGGCCGUUGUGGAGGAGGAGAGGCCCAGGCCAGAGGGGGACCGGUGCAACAAGAGGUGACUGAAGGACACAGUGUGGGGUCACGCUGCGGCU